rnacentral:lncRNA from 1 species
UUUCCAAAAAGAGCCAUCAUUUGGCUUGGUGUCAUGGCAUUUUGUAUCGUCUUCCCUUCUGCUUGUGAUGGUCUAAAAUUUGGGGGCCAACAGAGGUGAGGCAAAAAACCUCACCCCCCCACUGGCACCAAGGCCAAAUUUGGGGGCCAACAGAGGUGAGACAAAGAACCUCACUCCCCCACUGGUACCAAGACCAAAUUUGGGGGCCAACAGAGGUGAGGCAAAGAACCUCACCCCCCCACUGGUGCAAAGACCUAUCCACAAGUAUGGCUGUAUGCUGGACCGGUAGCCAAUGACGGGUAAGAUCCAAUUACAAUGGUACCAACCUAAGACAGGAGGCUGACGCCUUGAGUCAGAUCAUUCGAUGACGGGUAAGGACCAUAUGUAGUAUUGGACAACCUAAGAUAGACAUGGUCCCUAAGCCACGUGCUUGUUGUUUAAUUAAACAGAAGGGGGUAGAUGUUGAGAGCCACAGUUUAGUCGGAAUGACGCCUGGCAUUUUGCUAGAGGGAAUGGUUGAAAGGUGACCCUGCUCUGGGAUUAGGGCUGCUCCGGGAUUAGGGCAGAUCCUGCUGGGAUCAGGGCGGAUCCUUCUGCCUCGGGUACCUGCUACUUUGGAGUUCCCUUUGAGUUCUGGUUCCGGGGAGAAUUGGUGCACGGAGCACAGUGGAGGGAGUGUGUUCCCGGAAAGUGCGUGUAGAGUGCCAGUGAGAGUUCGGGAAUAAAGAGUCGCUGUUUGAAUCUACAAGGCUUUGUAGAUUGAUUAACUUGGUUUUUUUGUUAUUGUUUUUGUGUGUGUUAAGUUUUUUGAGUUCUUUAAAUAUUCUGGAUAUAAUUCUCUGUCAGAAGAGUAGCUGGUAAAGGUUUUCUUUCAUUCUGUUUGCUCUGUCCUCAUGUUCUUAUUUCCCUUCCUUACAGAAGCUGUACAGGAAUAAGCUGUACAGGAAUAAAUUUUAUUAAUAAGUUUUAUCCCACUUAUUGAUUCUUGGUUUUAUUUCUUGAGCAUUAGGGGUCUUAUUAAGGAAGUUGAUACCUGUGCCUAUAUUUUAGAGUAUUAGUCUUAUGUUUUCUUCUAGCAGGAGCAGUGUUUCUGAUCUAAUCCUUAAGUCUUUGAUACACUUUGAAUUGACUUUCAUACAGGAUGAGAGAUUGAGAUCUAGUUUCAUUCUUUUUCAUACAGAUAUCCAGCUUUCCCAGCACCAUUGAUUAAAAAGCCUAUUUUUUCUCCAACAUGUUUUUGGUACCUUUAGGACACUAUGUUUUUAAAUGUAUUUAAUUAUAUUUUACUUAUAAAAUACAAAACAAAAACUAUUGUAAAGCAAAUGAUUUUAAAU